CAUCACCACUCCCUAAUCUCAAAUACCCGGGGACACAAACAGGGCCAAAGGCCACGGGGACCUCUGCCUAGGAAAACCAGAGACCUUUGUUCACGUGUUUAUCUGCUGACCUUCCCUCCACUAUUAUCCUAUGACCCUGCCACAUCCCCGUCUCCGCGAAACACCCAAGAAUGAUCAACAAAUACAAAAAAAAAAAAAAAAAAAAAAGACACAAAACAUGUCUCUACAAUGUUUUAAAAAUCAAAAUCAUACCAGGUAUCUUAUCUGACCACAGUGCAACAAAACUAGAAAGCAAUAACAAGAGGAACAUUUGAAACUAUACAAAUACGUGGAAAUUAAACAACAUGCUCCUGAAUGACCAGUGGGUGAAGGAAGAGAUUAAGAAUGAAAAUUUAAAAUUCCAUACUCACUUUGGCAGCACAGAUACUGUUUCGGGCCGAAAGGAAGUCCCUCUGCGCCUUCCUUAGUGGCUGCUGCAGAAAGUGAGGGUUGUGAUCAACUCAGUAUACCACUGGAGGGUAUAUGAGUAAACAGCAAACUGUUCUCAGAAAAGCAGAACGUUGGCAAACUGGUAAACUGACAAACUGCGUCUACCGCCCAGAAGGAAUGCUGAGGCAGUCACGACCCAGGCACAAGUGUUUCUUGUGAUUAUCUACAGGGCACAUCUGAAGCCUCUUAGUAAUAAUAUGAACCUGUGAUCAAUUAAGCAGCUGAGCAAUCAUUACCUCCUCCUCCCUGCUCAUUCUACUCAACAAAUAGGAAGGGCUGUGGAAGCUCAGGUGCUGUUCAUGCUCACUGGAAGCUGCGAGUGCUCUUCUUCUUCCCCUGGCCCCUUCCUUUAAAAUACUUACUUUUGUUUUAAGUUUUCAUUCCUGUGUGGGUCCCCCUUUGUUCAGUCCCGUAGAAACCGUGGCAAUAUCCUAAAGUGGAAAUGAUGGAGAAGAUUAGCAUGACCCCUGCAAGGAGAAGUGCAAAUUCAUGAAGUGAUCCAUAUUUUUAAAAAUGAAAAAAGUUUUAAAAAUGUUAAAUUCCUUGAAACAAAUAAAAAUAGAAACACACACACACACACACACACAAAAAUACAAAAACUAGCUGGGCGUGGUGGCCGGCACCUGUAACCCCAGCUACUUGCGAGGCUGAGGCAGGAGAAUUGUUUGAACCUGGGAGGCAGAAGUUGUAGUGACAAAGAUCAUGCCACUGCACUCCAGCCUGGGUGACGGAGCGAGACUCUGUCUCAAAAAAAAAAAAAAAAAAAGAAAAAGAGAACAAUUGUUUACGCUGUCUUUCUUCCAGGUAGGGCCAUGAGAUUGAUUCCCACAAAAGGAACAAAAAAAUAAAGUGUCAUUUCUGAGCUGAAGCAGUUAUGCCUCCUCCACCAUCUUUUGCCUCUGUGGUGACCACAGAAGCCACAUGCUGCAGAUGACCUCACAUCAAGAAAAUGAUCUGAAUCUCUAAAGCAUUGCUUGAAGAGUAUUAAAGGUAUUAAAAUUACACUUCAGGCAGAUUAGGUGCCUUUGAGAGGCAUGAAAAACAAAUCAAGUAACAAUUAUAACUCCGUCUCAAAAAAUAUAUAUGUAUAUAUACUUUUUCCUCAAAAAAUAUAUAUGUAUACAUA
rnacentral:lncRNA from 10 species